AACGAACGCUGGCGGCAGGCUUAAUACAUGCAAGUCGAACGUGAAAGUCGUUCGGGAUGAGUAAAGAGGCGCACGGGUGAGUAACACGUGGGAACGUACCCUUGGGCGCGGGAUAACUACGGGAAACUGUAGCUAAUACCGCAUAAUGUCUUCGGGCCAAAGAUUUAUCGCCUAAGGAUCGGCCCGCGUUGGAUUAGCUUGUUGGUGGGGUAAUGGCCUACCAAGGCGACGAUCCAUAGCUGGUCUGAGAGGAUGAUCAGCCACACUGGAACUGAGACACGGUCCAGACUCCUACGGGAGGCAGCAGUAGGAAAUAUUGGGCAAUGGACGAAAGUCUGACCCAGCCAUGCCGCGUGAAUGAUGAAGGCCUUAGGGUUGUAAAGUUCUUUCGCCGAUGAAGAUAAUGACGGUAGUCGGAUAAGAAGCCCCGGCUAACUUCGUGCCAGCCGCCGCCGUAA
rnacentral:rRNA from 1 species